rnacentral:misc_RNA from 1 species
UCCGAGUUGACCCCGGCAGUCUCCUGCGAGUCCCCGGCUUUACCCGCUGGCAACACAGGACAAGGGUUGCGCUCGUUGCGGGACUUAACCCAACAUCUCACGACACGAGCUGACGACAACCAUGCACCACCUGUACACCGACCUUGCGGGGCACCCAUCUCUGCAGCUUUUCCCUACAUGUCAAGCCCAGGUAAGGUUCUUCGCGUUGCCUCGAAUUAAGCAACAUGCUCCGCUGCUUGUGCGGGCCCCCGUCAAUUCCUUUGAGUUUUAGCCUUGCGGCCGUACUCCCCAGGCGGGGUACUUAAUGCGUUAGCUGCGGCACGGAAACCGUCGAUAGGUCCCCACACCUAGUACCCAACGUUUACGGCGUGGACUAC